GGUAACACGUAUCCAACCUGCCUCAUACUCGGGGAUAGCCUUUCGAAAGAAAGAUUAAUAUCCGAUAGCAUAUAUUUCCCGCAUGGGUUUUAUAUUAAAGAAAUUCGGUAUGAGAUGGGGAUGCGUUCCAUUAGUUUGUUGGGGGGGUAACGGCCCACCAAGACUACGAUGGAUAGGGGUUCUGAGAGGAAGGUCCCCCACAUUGGAACUGAGACACGGUCCAA
rnacentral:rRNA from 1 species